ensembl:lncRNA
CCUGCCUGGAGGUUGAGACUGGUACAAGGAAUUCUUGGAACCAAGGAUUGUGGUUGGAAGGCGAGUGUGUGGUAUGUGAAGAUACACCCCAAAAGGAGGCUGGAACCAUAAGGUGGGGCCCUCAACUGCCCUCAUCUUCCCCAAUGGCUCAGAUGGAACUUGAGAAAGUCUCAUAUCAUCUCCUGUGGACCAUGUGUCUUCAUGUGAAUGAUGUCUUCAUCAUAUUUGAAACCUGUUUGUGGCCCAUGAUGGAUUUUCUAUGAAGCCUUGUUGGAGGAAUAGUAGCCGAAUUCCAGACCAGGGCACCACACACUGCCUAUCAGCUGUGAAGAUGAUUUCCAGACCUCAUCCUCCCG